CAACUUUUCGAUGGUAGGAUAGAGGCCUACCAUGGUGGUAACGGGUAACGGGGUGUUAGGGCACGACACCGGAGAGGGAGCCUGAGAAACGGCUACCACAUCCAAGGAUGGCAGCAGGCGCGCAAAUUACCCAAUCCCGACACGGGGAGGUAGUGACAAUAAAUAACAAUACGGGGUUCUUUCGGAUUUCGUAAUUGGAAUGAGUACAAUUUAAAUCUCUUAACGAGGAACAAUUGGAGGGCAAGUCUGGUGCCAGCAGCCGCGGUAAUUCCAGCUCCAAUAGCGUAUAUUAAAGUUGCUGCAGUUAAAAAGCUCGUAGUUGAAUUUCGGGACCAAUAUGUCGGUCGUGCCUCGGUACGUACUGGCAUCGUUGGUUUCUCCCUUCUGACGAACCAUGAUGCCAUUAAUUUGGUGUCGCAGGGAAUCAGGACUGUUACUUUGAAAAAAUUAGAGUGUUUAAAGCAGGCUCACGCUUGAAUACAUUAGCAUGGAAUAAUGAAAUAGGACGUUUGAUCCUAUUUUGUUGGUUUCUAGGAUUGACGUAAUGAUUAAUAGGGAUAGUUGGGGGCAUUAGUAUUCAAUUGUCAGAGGUGAAAUUCUUGGAUUUAUUGAAGACUAACUACUGCGAAAGCAUUUGCCAAGGAUGUUUUCAUUAAUCAAGAACGAAAGUUAGGGGAUCGAAGACGAUCAGAUACCGUCGUAGUCUUAACCAUAAACUAUGCCGACUAGGGAUCGGAUGAUGUUAAUUUUUUAAUGACUCAUUCGGCGCCUUACGGGAAACCAAAG
rnacentral:rRNA from 1 species